AUGGAUAAGCCCACCGCAGAGCGACAGAACUCUGUUCAAGAGAAUAAAUUGUGCUUUGGCUGUUUAAGGCCUGGGCAUCGCUCGAAAGAUUGUGAUAACAGGAACACCUGCGACACGUGUCAGAGGAGGCAUCCAUCCUGCCUGCACGAAGAUCGUACUGAAGAAAGGUUCAGGGAUAGGAAGACAGAGCCCCCACGAGAUAAGGGGACAAGAGCGUCAAGUGAGGCCAUAUCUAACAGAGUCGUAAGGGACAUUAACAACACUCACACCUCCACAAUCAUUCCAGUAUGGGUGUCAACCACAAGUGAGCCAGAUCGUGAAGUUCUUGUGUAUGCACUUCUUGACACCCAGAGCGACACCACCUUUAUCCUUGAAGAGACAACAAAGGCUCUCAAUACAAGGAAGGAGCCAGUCCAACUGAAACUCUCUACAAUGGCUUCAAGGAAUACCAUUGUGCCCUGCCAGAAGCUGUCUGGUUUGCAGGUUAGAGGGUUUUACUUGGAGAAGAAAAUCCCUCUGCCAACGACCUACUCGAGAGAGUUUAUUCCUGCAAACAGAGAUCAUAUUCCUACUCCAGAGACUGCAAGAGCAUGGUCUCAUCUUGAACACAUUGCAGAGGAGAUUGCUCCUCAACAGAGCUGUGAUGUCGGUCUCUUAAUUGGCUACAACUGCUCCCAGGCUCUCCUUCCAAGAGAAAUUGUGUCUGGUAAGGGAAAUCAGCCUUUUGCUCAGAGAACAGAUCUUGGCUGGAGCAUAGUCGGCUAUGGAAAUCCAUGUAUCGACUAUGGCGACGCUAUUGGAGUGAGUCAUCGGGUUAUCGUUAGACAGGUGAUGCCAAGCCUUCAAUCUUCUUUCAACCUCACAAAUCAAGUACACUAUGUUUGUAGAACACGUGUAAGAGAGGUAAUCACAGCACUGGACAUUAUCAAGACGCUUGAAUCUGACUUCAACAAGAGAGCUGCAGAAGAGGACCUCAUAUCUCAAGAGGAUAUCCGGUUCCUGACGAAAAUGAAAGUGGGCAUCAGACGCAAGGACAAUGGACAUUAUGAGAUGCCGCUGCCGUUUAAGGAAGAAAGACCCAACCUGCCGAACAAUAAAACAUGUGCAGUUCACCGUCUCAAGUGCCUGGAAAGGAGGCUAAGGAGAGACAAGCAGUACUACAAGGACUACACAGCAUUCAUGGAAGAGACCAUAGCUUGUGGAGAUGCUGAGAAGGUCUCCAAAGAGGAAGUUAACCAGCAUCCAGCAUGGUACAUCCCGCACCAUGGGGUUUAUCACCCACAAAAGCCUGGGAAGAUACGCGUCGUCUGCGACUGCUCAGCUAAGUUUCGAGAGACGUCCUUGAAUGACCAUCUCCUUACUGGUCCAGAGUUGACAAACACAUUGCUGGGUGUCCUUUGUCGUUUUUGUAAGGGUCCAGUUGCAAUCAUGUGUGACGUAGAGCGCAUGUUCCACCAGUUUCAUGGGAAAGCAGAAGACCAAGAUUAUCUACGGUUCCUUUGGUGGGAGAACGGAGAUCUAGAGUCUCAACCCUCAGUGUAUCGUAUGAAGGCCCACUUGUUCGGCGCAGCUUCAUCUCCUGGUUGCGCCAACUAUGGUCUCAAACAUCUUGCUGCCGAAGGACGAGGAAGCUUCAGCGAGAAGUCUAUCCAGUUCAUAGAAAGGAACUUUUAUGUUGAUGAUGGGUUGACGAGCGUAUCGUCUGAAGCUGAGGCGGCCCAGCUGGUGAAAGAAGCAAGAGAGCUUUGCAGCAUCGGCAAACUUCGGUUGCACAAGUUUAUCUCUAACAGCAAGGAAGUUAUAGCCACAGUUCCCAAGGAAGAAUGUGCCGAGGGUGCCAAAGACCUGGAUAUGGCUCUGGGUGAACCACACAUGGAGAGAGCGCUUGGUGUACUGUGGUGUGUCGCAUCAGACGAGUUCCAGUUUAGAGUAGUUGUCAAGGAACGCUCACUCACAAGAAGAGGAGUGUUGUCUACUGUAGCCUCUGUAUAUGAUCCGCUUGGGUUUGUGGCAACCUUUGUCCUGGCAGGGAAGCAGAUCUUGCAGCGGAUGUGUCGUGACAAAAUCGACUGGGAUGACCCCCUUCCAGAUGACCUACAUUCCCAGUGGGAAUUCUGGCUCCAAGGUCUACAAAACUUGUCUGAAGUAAUGAUCCAACGAGGUUACUUGCCAUCAAGUUUCAAGGAGGUGCAGAGUUAUGAGCUCCAUCACUUCUCCGACGCUAGUACCUCAUGUUAUGGAGAGUGCUCAUACCUCAGAACAAUCAACACUGACAGAAAUGGAAUAAAGACAGAAGAAACGCAAGGAUUAAUGACAUUGUCAUUUUGCAAGAUGAUACUGCACCACGCAACCAGUGGAAAUUGGCAAAGGUUACAGAAGUAUACCCGGGACAGGAUGGUCGGGUGA
rnacentral:lncRNA from 1 species